rnacentral:misc_RNA from 1 species
GAUGAAGAACGUAGCGAAAUGUGAUACGUAGUGUGAAUUGCAGAAUUCAGUGAAUCAUCGAAUCUUUGAACGCACAUUGCACCUCUCGGUAUUCCGGGAGGUAUGCCUGUUCGAGCGUCAUUUGUAUCCUCAAGCUCUGCUUGGUGUUGGGUGUUUGUUCCGCCUCUGUGUGUGAACUCGCCUCAAAACAAUUGGCAGCCGGCGUACUUGUUUCGGAGCGCAGCACAUUUUGCGAUCCAGAUCAACGUACAGCGGCAUCCAAGAAGCCUUAUUUAACGCUCUUGACCUCGGAUCAGGUAGGGAUACCCGCUGAACUUAAGCAUAUCAAUAAGCGGAGGA